rnacentral:rRNA from 1 species
CAGUCGACGGCAGCGCGGGGCAACCUGGCGGCGAGUGGCGAACGGGUGAGUAAUAUAUCGGAACGUACCCUGGAGUGGGGGAUAACGUAGCGAAAGUUACGCUAAUACCGCAUACGAUCUAAGGAUGAAAGUGGGGGAUCGCAAGACCUCAUGCUCCUGGAGCGGCCGAUAUCUGAUUAGCUAGUUGGUAGGGUAAAAGCCUACCAAGGCAUCGAUCAGUAGCUGGUCUGAGAGGACGACCAGCCACACUGGAACUGAGACACGGUCCAGACUCCUACGGGAGGCAGCAGUGGGGAAUUUUGGACAAUGGGCGCAAGCCUGAUCCAGCAAUGCCGCGUGAGUGAAGAAGGCCUUCGGGUUGUAAAGCUCUUUUGUCAGGGAAGAAACGGUGGUUUCUAAUACAGAUAUCUAAUGACGGUACCUGAAGAAUAAGCACCGGCUAACUACGUGCCAGCAGCCGCGGUAAUACGUAGGGUGCAAGCGUUAAUCGGAAUUACUGGGCGUAAAGCGUGCGCAGGCGGUUUUGUAAGACUGUCGUGAAAUCCCCGGGCUCAACCUGGGAAUGGCGAUGGUGACUGCAAGGCUAGAGUUUGGCAGAGGGGGGUAGAAUUCCACGUGUAGCAGUGAAAUGCGUAGAUAUGUGGAGGAACACCGAUGGCGAAGGCAGCCCCCUGGGUCAAAACUGACGCUCAUGCACGAAAGCGUGGGGAGCAAACAGGAUUAGAUACCCUGGUAGUCCACGCCCUAAACGAUGUCUACUAGUUGUCGGGUCUUAAUUGACUUGGUAACGCAGCUAACGCGUGAAGUAGACCGCCUGGGGAGUACGGUCGCAAGAUUAAAACUCAAAGGAAUUGACGGGGACCCGCACAAGCGGUGGAUGAUGUGGAUUAAUUCGAUGCAACGCGAAAAACCUUACCUACCCUUGACAUGGCUGGAAUCCCCGAGAGAUUGGGGGAGUGCUCGAAAG